CACCUCCCCAGCUGUCACACUCACCCCAAAAUCUGUCUCUGUCUCCCACACAUUAAAACACAGCCUGACCAUAAACACAACACACACAAACUACAAGCAGCUCCCCUUACAAACAACACAGCACAAGCAAUAACUCUACACACAUACACUCCCAGACACAUAUAUACACAUACACACUGAAACAAAGGCACACAUUCACACACACACAUAUUCAGGCAUAUACACAGGUACACAACACUCAGCCAUUGCACACAUUCUCACAACGCUCACAGACACAGAGCCCAGGACUCUAG